rnacentral:rRNA from 1 species
AUUGAACGCUGGCGGCAUGCCUAACACAUGCAAGUCGAGCGGAGCGGCGGACGGGUGGGUAAUGCCUAGGAAUCUGCCUGGUAGUGGGGGAUACCGUCCGGAAACGGGCGCUAAUACCGCAUACUAUCAGAUGAGCCUAGGGGGGAUUAGCUAGUAGGUGGGGUAAAGGCUCACCAAGGCGACGAUCCCUAGCUGGUCUGAGAGGAUGAUCAGCCACACUGGAACUGAGACAGGGUCCAGACUACUACGGGAGGCAGCAGUGGGGAAUAUUGGACAAUGGGCGCAAGCCUGAGGCAGCCAUGCCGAGUGUGUGAAGAAGGUCUUCGGAUUGUAAAGCACUUUAAGUUGGGAGGCGUUACCAACAGAAUAAGCACCGGCUAACUUCGUGCCAGCAGCCGCGGUAAUAC